GAAAAAAUAGCUAAAUUGGUAAUAGCAGUAACUUGUAAAAUUGUUACGUCAUUAUAGGUUCGACUCCUAUUUUUUUCA
rnacentral:tRNA from 1 species